CACGUAGGGAGCAAGCGUUGUCCGGAUUUAUUGGGCGUAAAGAGCUCGUAGGUUGUUCAGUAAGUCGGAUGUGAAAACUCAGGGCUCAACUCUGAGACGCCAUCCGAUACUGCUGUGACUUGAGUUCGGUAGAGGAGUGUGGAAUUCCUGGUGUAGCGGUGAAAUGCGCAGAUAUCAGGAGGAACACCAACAGCGAAGGCAGCACUCUGGGCCGAAACUGACACUGAGGAGCGAAAGCAUGGGGAGCAAACAGG
rnacentral:misc_RNA from 1 species